rnacentral:rRNA from 1 species
AAUCCGUAAAACCAUCCUCAGUUCAGAUUGCAGGCUGAAAUUCGCCUGCAUGAAGGUGGAGUUGCUAGUAACCGCAGGUCAGCAUACUGCGGUGAAUACGUUCUCGGGCCUUGUACACACCGCCCGUCACGUCAUGAAAGUUGGCAACACCUGAAGUCGAUGGGCUAACCCUAUUUAUAGGGAGGCAGUCGCCGAAGGUGAGGCCAGUGAUUGGGACGAAGUCGUAACAAGGUAGCCGUAGCGGAAGCUGCGGCUGGAUCACCUCCUUU